GGAAUAUUGGACAAUGGCCGAGAGGCUGAUCCAGCCAUGCCGCGUGCGGGAAGACGGCCCUAUGGGUUGUAAACCGCUUUUGUUGGGGAGCAAUAAGGUCUACGUGUAGACUGAUGAGAGUACCCAGCGAAUAAGCAUCGGCUAACUCCGUGCCAGCAGCCGCGGUAAUACGGAGGAUGCAAGCGUUAUCCGGAUUUAUUGGGUUUAAAGGGUGCGUAGGCGGGUGCUUAAGCGUGAGGUGAAAGCUCGGAGCUCAACUCCGGAACUGCCUCGCGAACUGGGUGCCUUGAAUGUCCGUGCCGUGGGAGGAAUGUGUGGUGUAGCGGUGAAAUGCAUAGAGAUCACACAGAACACCGAUUGCGAAGGCAGCCAACAAGGCCUUUACUGACGCUAAAGCUCGAAGGUGCGGGUAUCGAACA
rnacentral:rRNA from 1 species